rnacentral:rRNA from 1 species
AUUGAACGCUGGCGGCAGGCCUAACACAUGCAAGUCGAGCGGAUGACGGGAGCUUGCUCCUUGAUUCAGCGGCGGACGGGUGAGUAAUGCCUAGGAAUCUGCCUGGUAGUGGGGGACAACGUUUCGAAAGGAACGCUAAUACCGCAUACGUCCUACGGGAGAAAGCAGGGGACCUUCGGGCCUUGCGCUAUCAGAUGAGCCUAGGUCGGAUUAGCUUGUUGGUGAGGUAAUGGCUCACCAAGGCGACGAUCCGUAACUGGUCUGAGAGGAUGAUCAGUCACACUGGAACUGAGACACGGUCCAGACUCCUACGGGAGGCAGCAGUGGGGAAUAUUGGACAAUGGGCGAAAGCCUGAUCCAGCCAUGCCGCGUGUGUGAAGAAGGUCUUCGGAUUGUAAAGCACUUUAAGUUGGGAGGAAGGGUUGUAGAUUAAUACUCUGCAAUUUUGACGUGACCGACAGAAUAAGCACCGGCUAACUCUGU